UCUCUGGUUCUUGUCUCCUUAUGAAUGGAGCUUCUCACAAGCUCCCGCAAAUCACUCGGCUUCACUAAACCACCCCAUUUUGGCGAACCGUAGAUGAGAAGCUAGAGGAGCAUGGUGAAGAAGAAAACGACAACCUCGAGGAUGAUUCAGAGGAGACUCCCUUCUGUUUCUCCUUUGCUGCAGCCUUCUUCUUAUUCUUACUCUUCUCCUGCAAAUCCAGUUUUAAUGGAGAAGACAUUUGCAAGCAAAGACUAAAAAGAGAGAAGAGAAUGUUACCUGAAGGCAGAGACUUUAGCUCAUCUCCAGUGACGGCAACACGUCUCGGUGGAUAAUGUUGCCGAGGAAGUAAAUUUAGAAGAAGAAGAAGAAGAGACAGGAGGACAAAGAAGAACCCAGCAUUAAGACAAAGGUAAAGCUACUUGUGAAGUUAUGACCAGACAAGGAAUUAGGUUUCUCUGUAUCUGUUCUCUUGGAGGGUUCCUUGAAGAAGAAAGAAGAGAAGAAGAAAAGAAAAAGUUUUUUUUUUUUUUGUGGUUUGUGGUCUUUGAGAAUUGAGAGAAGUGAAGUCUGUAAAAAGGCAAAGAGCUCUGGCUACAAUUAUAUGGAGAAGCUCCUUUUCAAAGCAUAUAUAAAAAACAUCGGUUAUGUAAUAAUGUAAUGUACGUAGGUACACAUACACAUGCGUGUACAUAUGUAUUCGUGUGUAUCCGUAUAGAUUUAUACAUGUAAGAGAAUGUAAAUGAUU